GGUCAAGCCACAUUGCUGGCUGUUUGCAUACUGGUGGUCACCAAAAGGAAGUGAACAGUGGGGACCGGCUGCCUCAUCAGCACUGAACAGACCAUCCCCAGAAACCACUCAGGAAACUAGAGACCGUGACUGCUCUGGUCAAGGGAUGCAGAAACAGAAUUUAGAGUGAGUUCAAGAUUUAGCUUGUCAAAAAAAAAAAUAAUAAUCAUUUUGAAGAUACUCCUCUAAAUCACCCACAGUCCAAAGGAAGGAAUCUGGACCUACCUCACACGGACUCCAGGACUGGCCUUGAGGCAGAGCAGGCACCAGGUGUCAGCCUGAGCCUUUUCCACACGUCCAGGAUACUUAACCAAACUGUCUCCUGAGCUGCAGCUCACUAAACAGAAACUCUGCUGUUCCUGGCCCAAACCCAUCACAUCUGGGGAAAGCUUUGUGUCUUGAACUUAGUUUUGUGUUUUUCCCGUGCCGUCUACUCCUUCAGCCCUUUGCCCGUGACGUCUUUUUAACUCCCAACAGUCUUUUUUGAGGUUCGAAUUCCUUACCCCUGUGCAGCUUGCACUUACCAUUGCCUUAUUCUCAGUUCUUGUCCACAUGCAGGAAAAUGUGGAGACAAGAGGUUGUUUUGUUUUAAAUAAAGUAGGCACUCUGAAAGAAUUGUAUUUGUUUUAUAUAAAAUAGACAUUCAGUAUUUCUCCCAUAAUGUCACUUUAGCAGCUCAAUCAAGGAAAAUAUUCACGGAUAACUCUUAAAGACACUAUGCCUGGAUUUGCUUUAUUUUCAAAUAGAUCUGAGUUUUGCUUCACUUACCAGUAAAACUCAUACCCCGGUCCAAGUUUUUAACAAAAAUCCUGAUUUGAAGUUCAUCACAACAGCUAACUGCAAUAUUUGAAGAGACCACAAGGUGGCGAUAGAUACCUAUGGGCCAAGUCUGUAACCUAGCAAACUGUUGUAGAAAUAGGAGCAAAAGGGCCGCUGGCUGAGCCAAGAUUAGAAAAUUAAGCUAAUAUGAAAGCCAUCUUGCUCUCAUCUGGGGGAAGGCUGCCAUCCUAAUUACAUCUGAAGGUCUAAUUACAUACUUAAAGACCCAAACGCCAAGCUCAAGGUAUCAACUCUGUCUUCCGAAAGCAGGUCUACAUUUGCUCACUGUAUCACGGGCAUGCCACCUUAAAUGCAUUCCAGGGGCUCCCAAGGACACAACCCAUGUGUGUUGGAGGUACAUGUAUGUGUCAGGCACAUUUGUAUUGGGAAGACUUUGUCACAGUCCUAUUGAUAUUCUCAUUACACAGAAGUAAACUGUUCAUCUUCCUCAACAGUUUCAGUAUUCCACAAACAGGAAUAAAUCUUCGUGACUCGAGCUUCAAUUCAAAAAACAAAGUCUGAAAACCUCUUCAUAAACACUGUGUGUGGCCUUCACUCUCUCCCACCAGGUUGGCAACAGCCUGGGAGCAUUCGCUGCUGCUCUUCCACACACAAGCAGCUGUGAAAGAUGGACCCAUCAUGAUCUGGGGGUGUGAGAAACCACAAAGUUCCUGUGACGGAGGUGCUGCUGAUGCCCCGCAUCACAGCUGUCUUUACACUCACGAUCUCUUGGAAAUGAUUUAAUAAAAUGUGCUGAUGCCUCAAGAAUGUCACAAGUUCAAUGUGAUCUAUCCCCUUCAUUGAGAAACAUUUCUCCAGGUGGACACAGUUUUCUGACUCUAAGUGUAUGUGCCCCACAUCCUAAUUUCAAAAACCCUAAUGGCCACUUUAAAACUUAUAAUCUACUUUUCAAAUGGGCAUUUAAAUUCAAAAGCAUGCUCCAUAUAACCCACAGCACUCCAAAGACUGUAGCUCCGUGAUGACUGCACUCCACACUGAUUGUAUCUGUAGCCACACUUUAUCGGUGAAACACCCAAAAGAUGAAUGAGUGUCUGAUCUCCGAUACCUUUCUUUCAAGCAGUGGUCAGCACUCUUCUGGGCUCAUUUUCUCAGAAUUUGAAGGGAACAUAGAUAUGAAAAGGUAUCCACAAAACAGAGUACACACCAGUCCCAGGCUAGAUCUGGGGGUUAGGAGGAGGAAGGCAGUGUGGACAGCUAGGCCAAUUCCAGAGCAAGUCCGAGAAUCCAGUGUUCUAAGCCUAGGAAAGCAUGCAGUAGACCACACGCCACCGUGAAUGGAAAACUCACAGACCUCAUCCUCAGUGUGGGAAGAACACCUGUGUGCUAACCAUUUAGUACCCUUCAUCUCUAACUCAUAACCAAGCACUUUUGAGACAAGACUCAAAAACUGUUUUAUUAAACUGAACACAAAAAGCCUGUUACAAUAUCAUCAAGCCUUUAUCAGAAAUCAGUACAUACAUGAGAAUAUACAGCCAAGAUGAGCCAUCAACAUAAGCAGAAGCUUAAAUAACAUUCAGACUUCUAUAGUUAAUAGGCAGAAGAAAAUAAAACUAAAACAGCAAUUUCAAUUUCACAAUUCACAGUUGAUUGGUUUGAAUCCCGUGACAUGUCAGUCAGCUCUGUAGUCCCUGAAGAGGAGAUCUCCAAACAGAGACUGGCCCACUGCCCGAUGGCUUGCUCAGAUUUCCAACCCCCAAAGACAAGUGGAGAGCAUUCCACGGCACAGCCCCACUCUCCUGGUUUGGACUGGCACUUCUUAGCUGCAUUCUUCCUACUGAAACAGCAAAAGCACAUUUACAGUUCGCCAUGUGAUCACAUGAAGGGUUCCAAACUGUCUCUUGGCUUUCUACGUCAUUUCUAAUGUAAGACAAUCACUGCAUUAAAAUGCGCCCUUGAUACUGAAAGUAAGAUCAGCUUUGCUUCCGGACCGAGAGCACUCAUCCCCGAGGGGACGUGUGCGUCUCAGCGGACAGCUGGGAUGCUCAACAGCAGAGCCUGGCAUGCCCAGUAAGGCAUUUCAAAGACAACACACCUAACCCGCUCCAGGUCACUGCAGUGACGGGGGCACCACAGGUGAGCAGAGUCCACGUGAGACUCUAACAAAAUGACGCACUGGCUUACAGAACCUUUGGCAGGUAUUCAGAGACUAAAAGAGGGCAGAACAAUGACCAGCCACUUCCAAGAGGUUUGUUCCCAAGCACGGGCUUUGCCCUACGACAGUAUCACUCAUCCUGACUUAUGGAGUCAUUUUCUCUAAAAAGAAAAGAAAAAAAGCAUCAGGUAGAGAGUGCACACGUGGUCAGUGAUAAAGAACACCAUUUUCACUAGGGAGGGGUUACUUGAGCACUUACAUUGACAGAGUGAUCAUGAAAGCCAUUUGAAGACAAAGAAUCAGACAGACCCUGCACUAGUUGGUGUUCAAUGUGCAGUGAGAUGUUAGCAACUGCUGUGGACUUAAAAACUACAAUUAUAGCCUGGCAUGGUGGCACAUGCCUGUAAUCCCAGCACCAAGAGGUGGAGGCAGGAGGAUUGUGAGUUCAAGGUCAUCCUCGGCUACAUAGUAGGUAGAAUUAAGACUAGCCUGGGCUAGAUGGAACUUUACAAAACAAAACAACAACAAAUGGCCAUAAGGACAUCUUUAUGUCAAAAGAAUUAUGAAAUGUCAAAAAAUAAAAUUCUAAUUCGUAAAAAUAAAUACAGUCCUUCUAAGAGCCCCAAAGAAGUGUUCAAUUACUUUGGAUCCUAAGAUUAAAAUCCAGAACAUUCAAGUUUGGGCUCUGAUUCAUCUGCCCAUCCCAUCUCCCUGACCUGGAGCAAACCCCUUCCAGCUCUGCAGAGCUGUCCACAGCAGGUGGGCACAGGAUGGAGGCAGAGGGCAGUUUUCCUCGGCAUGACUGAAUACAGACUGCUCCAAGGCUCACCCACCCCUCGGUGGACAGGACUGCCGUCUUAGUGCUAAUUCUGCUAUGUACAUGAUAGAAGGCGAGUGGUCACAGUACCCAAAGAGGUCACAACAAGUCCCGUCAGGAAAGUAAUCUUUGAGGACCAGGAAACCUGGUGCAGACUUGUUGGAGACCCAAGAACAGAAACAAGGAAGACUGACGUCCACAGGAGAGAAUCAUGACUGUUCACGGCUCAAGUUAGGACCUACACACGCAGCUUUCCUAAGGUACUAACAUUUAAAUGUUAAAUCCCAGUGCAUGAUACCCACAGUAUGGGCACUGUCGGAAAUUGAUACUGAGCCGUCUGUCCUGAUGGGCAGACGGAUGAAUACAGUGGAAUACAGCUCACGGGGAGAUACAUAGAAAUACAGUGGGAAAAUGUUGACAAAGACAGAGUUAGCUAUGCUCCAAAUGUUUUCACUCUGAUAAAUAUCCGAAAUUCUUCAUGAUAAAAUGUUGGGGCGUUACUAUUUCUACACCAAAAUUAGUUUUAUCAUACGUUCAAAAGGCUGUAAAGACUCAGGAAAUUUAAAGUUGUCAGUUAAUCGAACUAAGGAAAUCGUUUUCAAAGGCCUCAAGCUUGCUUGGAAAGGCCCUCCAUCCGCACUAGGUGACCCUGUGGAUGUACAGAGUGACCCGAGCCACUGUCCCUGCCAGUCCCUGCCAGUCCCUCAAUGCACUUCAUGUUCAGAUACAUAACUCUCUCCUCUCUACAGAAGAACCAAGCUGGGACGAUCAGCGUAGGAGGUCUAUUCCAAUGUCAGCAUCUCAAGCUGAGUCGUCUACAUCAUCAAACACAGCCCAUCCAGGUGAACUGCUAGCCUCGGCAACCAGGACAUAGCCCGCCCAGGGGACUACAGCCAGCCACGGCAACCAGGACAUAGCCCACCCAGGGGACUACAUACAGCCAGCCACGGCAACCAGGACAUAGCCUGCCCAGGGGACUACAGCCAGCCACGGCAACCAGGUUCCUACUCAGAGUGCAGUUUUACCACAAUAGCAAAUUGAGAUUGCACUAACAAAGGGGGGCGGGGGAGACAUGGAACAGAAUUCACAAGGACCUUUACUAUUUCAAGCUAUUUUAUGAACUGUGGUUAACGGCAGUAAAUUCUGUCAUUUCUAUCCUCUGUGAAAUGCUAACACUUGCUAAAGGCACUCAUAUUUUGGGCUUAACGGAUACAAGGUCACAUGGGACCAUAAGCCAGGGCUUUUUUUUUUUUUUGGUAA